UGGGGAAUAUUGCACAAUGGGCGCAAGCCUGAUGCAGCCAUGCCGCGUGUAUGAAGAAGGCCUUCGGGUUGUAAAGUACUUUCAGCGGGGAGGAAGGGAGUAAAGUUAAUACCUUUGCUCAUUGACGUUACCCGCAGAAGAAUCACCGGCUAACUCCGUGCCAGCAGCCGCGGUAAUACGGAGGGUGCAAGCGUUAAUCGGAAUUACUGGGCGUAAAGCGCACGCAGGCGGUUUGUUAAGUCAGAUGUGAAAUCCCCGGGCUCAACCUGGGAACUGCAUCUGAUACUGGCAAGCUUGAGUCUCGUAGAGGGGGGUAGAAUUCCAGGUGUGGCGGUGAAAUGCGUAGAGAUCUGGAGGAAUACCGGUGGCGAAGGCGGCCCCCUGGACGAAGACUGACGCUCAGGUGCGAAAGCGUGGGGAGCAAACAGG
rnacentral:rRNA from 1 species